ACACUGAGACAGCCAUGGUUAGAGCCUGCAUACCCUGGGGGAGGUGCUGCUGCUUCCUCAAGGUGCAAUAUGCAGGCCCAUGGCAGAUCCAGCCACUCUGCCAUUCUGUGGAGUGCUGUGGUCUGAAGUAAGACAUCACAUUGCGGGAUAGGAGUCCUGUGAGAAGGAAUCUACAACCCAGAACCAGAGACAGUAGUGACCACCCCAAGUUUCCCCCUAAGCAGAAGGAAAGGUUUUAGGGGAAGAUAGGAAUUUCCUGGCUUUGGGUUUAAGCAGUACAGUUACCAAAGAGCAGUAAUGAACUUCAUGAGAGCCCGGUUGUUGUUCCGAGGAGGUUCUGCUAGAGCCCACACUCACCUCAAACGUACUCCGUAGCUCAGACUGUCUUGGGGCUCUCAGCUCUUUAGCCUCAGCCUCCCCAGUGCUAGGAUUGUGUGCUUGUGCCACCACGUGCAGCUGAGAGGUCCCUUUCUGUUUGCUUACCUGCCAUAGAGUUUUUUUGAAAUCAGUUUUGUCAAGCCCAGAAGGUGAGCUUGUGUGCUUACAUAGCCAUCCCAGAGGCUGCAACACUGAGAUUUGCUUUGAAUUUCAGCAUCUGGGAUCCCUGCCUCAAAGCUGGUUGAAGCCCACGGGACCUUUGUAACAGCUACAUGCACGGUCUGUCGAAGGUCCUUCCCAGGGGAAGACAUAUGGGUGAGUCACCUCAGGAAAUAGUCUCUGCCUUCUGCAAUUCUUGGGGGUAGAGGAUCUUAUAAUAGUUUGUUUUGUGCUUGUUUAUUUGUUUGUUUCAAAACAGGACGCUCACAGAGGUCUGAAACUCACCAAAAUAGCUAGGCUGGUUGGUCAGGCAACCUUAAAGAUCCACCCUAAGGAUCUCUGCCUCCCCAGUGCUGGGAUUACAUUAUACAUCACCAUACUUGGCUUUGUUUGUUUAGACAAGGUCUCACUAUUUAGACCAGGUUGGCCUAUAACACAAAGAGAUCCAUCAGCUUCUGUGGGAUUCAGGAUGUGCUCCACCAUGCCUGGCUCCCAAACUUUUGACUUAGAAAAAUAAUACAUACUUGUAAAGGAACAUAAGGCUGGGCUGAGAAUGUGACGCAGCUCAAUGGUGGAGUGCUUGCCUAGCAUAAACGGCCCUGGGCUCUAUGGCCAGUGCUCCCUCCACCCCAAAAAUGCAGGUCAGAAAUAUAUAGGGAAAAUGAAUUCCCCAUGGCAGGCAUGGUUGAGCACACCUUUAAUCCCAGAACUUGGGAGCAAGAGGCAGGCAGAUCUCUGAGUUCUAGGCCAGCCAGAGUUACAUAGUGUUUGUCUAAAAAAGCAAACAAAAAGAAAGAAAGAAAGAAAGAAAGAAAGAAAGAAAGAAGAAAGAAAGGAAGAAGAAAUAAAAUGAAUCUCUCUCUAACCAAUCCCUUUGGCCGACAUUUGUGAUUGAGGGAUAAUGUAAUAGUCUGUGUUUUUAAAGCAAAAGAUAUAUGUACAUAUAAACAUGCAUGCAAGGUUUCUAUAUAGACAUUAAAAUAUUAAAAUUAGUUCAUUGAUUCCUAUUAAAUAUCUUUUAUAAAUUCUCUACAUUCCUGUUCAGUUUAAUGGACAUCUUAUGUUGACAUCUGAGACAUGUUUAUUCCUUUUGUUACUUAAUAUGAGGCAUUUUUAAUGUUUAUAAUUGUUGCUAUUAAAACAACACAGGAAAGGGUAAGGAGAUGGCUCAGUAGGUGAACCAUAGAAGAGCUAGGCAGGAAUGGCAGCCCGCUGGACUCUCAGAUUCCUAGAACAAGCUGGUAUUUGUACUAGCUCUGCUAAGCACAAAGACCGGUGUUCAGAUCCUUUUUGCCCAUCCCCUUCUCCUGAGGGCCACUGGAUCGCCUGAGACCCCUGGCCCUGGACUCCGUACAUUUCACUUCUCCCCAGCAUGCAACAUCCACCAUCUUGUAAAAGUUGGACACAGUAGUAUACAUGUCUAUAACCCUGGGGCUGAGUGGUUCGAGACAGGCAUACCUGUAGAGCUCACUGGC
rnacentral:lncRNA from 1 species